rnacentral:lncRNA from 10 species
CUUAAACAACAAAUCUUUAUUUUUUCAUGAUGCUGGAGGCUGGGAAGUCCGAGAUCAAGGUGCUGGCUGAUUCCGUUUUUUGUGAGGGCUCUCUUCCUGGCCUGCUGAUGGCCCCCUUCUUGCUGCGUUUUAUACUGGGGAUUGGAGUUUCAACAUAUGAAUUUAGGGAGGACAUAUUUCAAUCCAUAGCAUCAUCCUUCCACAUUUUUUAAAUUCCUGAAAGUUAGUUAUAAACCCGAUGAUUGAAUUCACUCUAAUUCUCUCAUAUUUAAAUGGGAAAUUUUGUGCAAAUUAUUCCUUAGUCUCCAUACCAAAUUCCUUGGCAACCCAUGUUUUCCCUGCUGUGUAUCAGGAAGCUAACCCCACUGAAUCUUUUUACUGACAGGUUACAGCUGAUAUUUUGCCACAGGAUGUACUGGCAGGAGCUGACUGAGUUGCAAGGAAGUAAAGCCAGGGUAUUUCUUCUCUGCUGCCCUGUGGCUUCAGCACCACGUCUUGGGCAGCUGCUGCAUUUCUCCAAAACUACAGCUCCAACUGGGCGGCCCCUCCUCUGUGCUUCCAGUUCUCGCUGGGUUCUGUUAACAUUAUUUCUUCUCAUUGUCCCUUCAGCCCAAGAGGUUGUAAUGUUGCUAGUCCCUGGGUAAAUUAUUUAUUUGCUCCUAAAACUCUGCCUAUGCCUUUUUGGAGUGCUACCGUUAACAUAUCUUCACUUAAACCAUUUUAAGGGUGAAUCCCAUUUCUUACUGGGACCCAGGACCUAACAGGCCUUGCUUACAUAUUGCAUUUAAAUUAAAUCUCAGGUUUAUGGUACUUACAUGCCAUUCUACAUUUGUAUUUCAGAAAAUAUAUAUGUACAUAGACAUCCAUUUCAUUUAGGGAGAGAAAAAGGAAAAGGAUAAAGUAAGAUGUCAGAAGGAAUGAAAGGGACCUUGCAAAACUACAUAGAGAAAUCGUCCCUUAUGCCUUUAGAAAAACCUCACAUUACCAAAGGGUCUCUGGCAAAGAAGCCAUACAGAAAAAAAUGCCCUUUUGUCUUCUUAUGCAUAAGUUGAACAUCAUUACCCAAGUAUUGUCCAUUCCUUUAAGGGAUAGGUUAUAGGAGGGAAUUGUUCUUUUUCUUUAGGAUUUUUUUUUUUUUCAUUUUUUUCCCUUGGAAUGAGAAUAAUUAGAAAUUUUCAAUACUUUAGUUUAAAAUAGGUCAUUUCCCUUUCACAUUGUCAGAAAAUUCGUACUUCCCUAAAUUGGGUGAUUGGGUGUAUUCAGGGAGUUCCUCUAUGCAGUGUAGCUGAGUUUCAAAAUCAGUGUCAUUCUCGGUGUUUGAAAUGUAUGGUGGAAAUCUGUUGGGCUUGCUUUGUAAAUGCAGAGCUAGGUCAGGUGAAGCCCAAAGGCAGUAGGCCAGAGUGGGCCCCAGGAAUACCUCCAGCAGAGAAGCAAUUCAAAUGGACAAUGAGCAGGUGCAGGCAGGUUCAGAUGCUGUGAUAGAAAGGUCAAGAAAGGGGAUCUGAAGAGAGGAGAAAAAGGACAGAGAAGGAACUUUUCUAUGGUGGCAGGCCUUGUAGCUGGGACUAACAAUCUGAGAGAAACUCUUUUUUCACAUACUAGACGAAUUCACCAAGAGUAUAGGAAAGUGCCUAAGAAAGAAUGGCUCUGAACUUCUGCUAAUUCAUUGAAAAUAAAUUUGUGCUAUUCAUAUAAUAUAGGUAGAUUAUAUCCUUAAAUUUUCCAGUGGUAUUUUAGAUGUCCCAACCAUGUGUGCCACUGUGAAAGGCCGAAGUCAGAGACAAAGUAAGUCAGGGAGGGAGGAAAUUGUUUCUAAGUUUUUUGUCCCCUGGGUCUUUAAGGAGGUGAUUACUGAAAAGCAAAGCCAGAUUUAAUAGCAGGGACUUCCGGGGUAGAGUGUUCCAACCCUGGCUUAUUCUCUAUUAAACACCUUGAAAAUUAAAAGCAUGACUUUGUCACUUGGUAUUCCCAAUGCCCAGAAGAAAUGUCCUGUAAUCGGUAAACAGUGGAUGUUUGUUGACUGAUUGCAAAAACACUCACAUGUCUGACUCCUCCUGUCCUUGUGCUCCUAGAUGCACCUUAGCAAUAAUGGACACAAGGGGACUGGGCCUUGCCUGGACCACCCACCUGGCUUGGGCCAUGCCAGCUGCUCUGCUGCAGUGUGUGGUUGCUCAAGUUUAGCUACAAGGCCAUAUAAGAGUCCUUCCAAGAGGAGGAUGGGGCGAACUUUCCAGCUAGAGUUUGACCUAAGGAAGGAUUUCAAAACUUACCCCUGCAAUGCUUUAACAGCAUUCAAGUCAAAUGGAGGCUUUUCAUACAGUGAAAUCCACAGUAGCUCUCUGUGGUAUGUAGGGCUACUAGCCAGAUAUACCUGAAAGCAAGCGCUUGCCUUGCUCUCCCUCUGCCACAGAACGAUGACACAGGGAUAACAAAGGGAAAUACCAGGGAAUGUCAAGUCAAACAAAUCGUAGAUCUUCUCUGGCGGCUUCUUUGACCUUGUUCUGAGGUAAGUCACACCAGCAGGAGGGGCAUUCAGGAUAAGCGUGUUUGUCAUUUGAGGCUUCUAUCUGCUCCAAAAGGAACUCUAAAUCUUCCUUAUGAAGGCACUGACAUUUAGUUUGGCACAUUUUCAGAUACUAGAAAAAGAACCAUGACUUGACAAAAAAAAAAAAAAAAAAGUUUAGUUAAUACAAAGCAGAAGAGGCAAUUAUUUCAAGCCAUUUAGAGAAUAAUUUGAACAUAAAUGUGCAAAUAUAUAAGUUUUUAGGUGCUGAGAUUUCUUUUUUUUUUCCUGUCAGUGAACACCGUGUACAUCAAGGAAGAUAAUUACAACUUUUUCAAGUCUUCUAAAAUCGACCUAACCUCUUAGGUUAUUUCCUGGCCUCCCUUCUGUGACCUUUGACCAAGGCCAACCUUUAGCUGGAGAAUGUGACAUUUUGUUCUCCUCUGGCUGACAUGUGAUGCUCUCAUUAUUCAAAGAUUAUCUCCUUUUGAUAUCUCUGCUUAGAGGAAUACAGAAUGUGGCCACAUGUUACUCUUCUACCAAUGUCAGGAUAAAGCAUGCAUUAGGAUCCCUCAGUGGAGAACUAUGUCCAUUCCAUGCUCCUUCCAACUAGUUUGAGAAAUGGCUCCAAAUUUUCCUUAAUAUUAUUCUGAAUUGCUCUAUGAAGUAAAUGUCAGGCAUUUUAUUUCCAUUUCCCUAAAAUAGAGAAUGGGUUGCUAGGGAAAAUGCCUAAGCCAGCCAUAAAGCAUUUCCAAAGGGAGGACAUAGUGAAUAAAAAAUGUUAAUUCCUGUCUUGUUUAACAAGCUCUCAUGGCAGCUCCAAGGGGUAGUAAAAUUUAUACUCCUACCAGGACAGCUCUAGACUAUGGCAUCAGCAUGGGAUGGAAAGUAGCCCUGGGAAACAGAAUAGUGUGGUUGCCUGCUACCCUUUACUUAUCUGAAUAGUUUGUCUCUGCUGUGCCCAGGAGGUUUGCACCUCAUGGGGUGGGAGGUGGUGCAAUCAGGUAAGAAUGCUCUUUACUUACUCCUUUGUCGGAAAAAGGAUGACUGUAAUGUGUGGGCUGGAGUGGAGUGGAACUGAGUUUAAAAUCUGCAGUAACAUAAAAUUAAAGACUAGGUAUUAACAAUGGCUUUGCACUCUGAGUUGCCAUGGGCUGAGAGGGACAGCUGGACAGCCAGAGGGAUUCCAGAGGGACUUGGCAGGACAGAGCAGUGUAAGCCAUCUUACUGCCUCGAAAAACACAGGUAGGAGCACAUCAGACUUCAGUAACACAGGAUUUAUCUCAGUAUCCAUUUUUUCUGAUUCUCAGUUUUCUUAUCCAUAAAAUAGAUUAAAUAAUAUAUGCUUUGUGAGGUUCUUGUGAAGAUUAAAUGAGAUGAAAAAUGCAAAGUGCUGGAGGAACACCUGCAGGAGCUCUAUCCAUGAAAAACUGUUGGCCGGGCACGGUGGCUCACGCCUGUAAUCCCAGCACUCUGGGAGGCCGAGGCGGGUGGAUCACCUGAGGUAGGGAGUUAGAGACCAGCCUGGCCAACAUGGGGAAACCCCGUCUCUACUAAAAAUAAAAAUAUCAGCCAGACGUGGUUGCGGGCGCCUGUAAUCCCAGCUACUUGGGAGGCUGAGUAACAAGAAUUGCUUGAACCCGGGAGGCGGACGUUGUAGUGAGCCAAGAUCGCGCCACUGCACUCCUGCCUGGGUGACAAGAGCUAGACUCCAUGUCACCCAAAAAAAAAAAAAAAAAAAAAAAGAAAAACUGUUAUUAUUAUUGACAAAAUAAAAGUAAAGGCUGCAUUCGAGACUGUUAAGAAAUUGUCACAGAAAAUAUUUUUAUUAGUCAUUGUACAGAUAAAGAAAAUGAUUCUCAUAUAAAGAAAAUUUUCUAUUUAAACUUUUUAUUUAAAUUUAAAUGUUCUAGUUAAAAUGAAAAAAUUACGAUGCUUCUGCCUUUUAUGAUGAGAGAUAAGAAGUCAUGUUAGUAGAAGAAUAAAUCAAAAUAUUCCCUUACCUGCAAAAAACUGAUGAGUGUACAAGCCACACUUAAGAAUUUGUGAUCGGCCGGGCGCGGUGGCUCACGCCUGU